rnacentral:misc_RNA from 1 species
AACAUCGCGCACCUGCGGGAACCUGCGGAGGGAUCAUUACAGGGUUGCAAAACUCCCUAAACCAUUGUGAACGUUACCUAAACCGUUGCUUCGGCGGGCGGCCCGGGUCCUUCCCGGCGCCCAUCGGCCCUCGCGGGCGCCCGCCGGAGGUAAACCAAACUAUUGCAUUGUAUGGCCUCUCUGAGUCUUCUGUACUGAAUAAGUCAAAACUUUCAACAACGGAUCUCAGAUCGGAAGAGC